ACGAACGCUGGCGGCGUGCUUAACCCCUGCAAGUCGAACGGAAAGGCCCUGCUUGCCGGGUACUCGAGUGGCGAACGGGUGAGUAACACGUGGGUGAUCUGCCCUGCACUUCGGGAUAAGCCUGGGAAACUGGGUCUAAUACCGGAUAGGAGCCAUUUUUAGUGCGAUGGUUGGAAAGUUUUUUCGGUGUAGGAUGAGCUCGCGGCCUAUCAGCUUGUUGGUGGGGUAAUGGCCUACCAAGGCGGCGACGGGUAGCCGGCCUGGGAGGGUGGACGGCCACAUUGGGACUGAGAUACGGCCCAGACGCCUACGGGAGGCAGCAGUGGGGAAUAUUGCACAAUGGGCGCAAGCCGGAUGCAGCGACGCCGCGUGGGGGAUGACGGCCUUCGGGUUGUAAACUCCUUUCGCUAGGGACGAAGCUUUUUGUGACGGUACCUAGAUAAGAAGCACCGGCUAACUACGUG
rnacentral:rRNA from 1 species